ACCCCUAAUCAGAUAACCCGAAGCAACCCCAUUCUCAAGCCAUCGACCACCGAUUUGCCCUUUCCAACUACAGUUUGGUGUUCCAACACCACCAGACAAACCUACAGCCUCCCAUGACGUAACCUCAGCCAAUCACAAAUUUUAUCGACCGCCAAACAUCGUGAAAAAGUCGAUAAAGGUUUGUCGAAAACCCUCACUCGCUGCUAUUAUUUUCCUCGUUUCUGUUCGAACCCGACGUUGUGUGACUUCAUUACCACCAACACUGUGUUCCCCGACCUAUUCCGACCAAAACCCAACCGGUGGGUGAGGUUGUCAUUGCUAUUUCGUCUGUCCGUCGUGAUGUGUUCGACCGCCACCGCCAAUCGUUUCCGUUGUCUCACAUGCCGCUAUACGCCGUCGGGUACGCGUGAGGCUCGUCUCCGUUUCAGGAAGCCUCCAAGACCAAUCCAAUCGGUCAGGACCAGCCCAACCCAGUCUGAAUUGGGUUUGUUGACCCGAACCGAUGUGUCCAAGUAAUAUAUGGUAAGAGAAGAGAUUAGUUUCCGAAGAUUUUAUAUGGUAAGAGAACAGAUUACAUUUAUUUUAAAUUACUUUAAUUAUAGAAAGUUAAAAAAAUAGUAAUGUUGAUAUACAUUUAAAUGUACUUAGUGGGAAAAAAUAUAGAAUGGCGGCAAAUUAAAUUUA